UGGGGAAUUUUGGACAAUGGGCGAAAGCCUGAUCCAGCCAUGCCGCGUGCAGGAUGAAGGCCUUCGGGUUGUAAACUGCUUUUGUACGGAACGAAAAGACUCCUUCUAAUAAAGGGGGUCCAUGACGGUACCGUAAGAAUAAGCACCGGCUAACUACGUGCCAGCAGCCGCGGUAAUACGUAGGGUGCAAGCAUUAAUCGGAAUUACUGGGCGUAAAGCGUGCGCAGGCGGUUAUAUAAGACAGAUGUGAAAUCCCCGGGCUCAACCUGGGAACUGCAUUUGUGACUGUAUAGCUAGAGUACGGUAGAGGGGGAUGGAAUUCCGCGUGUAGCAGUGAAAUGCGUAGAUAUGCGGAGGAACACCGAUGGCGAAGGCAAUCCCCUGGACCUGUACUGACGCUCAUGCACGAAAGCGUGGGGAGCAAACAGGAUUAGAUACCCAAGUAUUCCCUGAGCGGGCUGGCAAGGCGCAU
rnacentral:rRNA from 1 species